UACAGACUUCCUGCGGUCCUACCUGUCACCCGUAAUAAAACGAAUAAAGCGAACAAUUCGCCUUCCAGCUCAUCUUCCUUCAACUUAAGGUGGAAAUCUAGUUGUGUAAUUGGCCACUCGCUACUCUUUCGUCGAUGCAGAGCUUCUUGUGGCCUCCAAUGUGCCUCCAACGUCUUCUUGCUUGAAUAAUACAAUGGAACACGGAAGAUAUCAAGAAAGCAGGACUGGACUAAUGU